rnacentral:lncRNA from 1 species
UUAAUUUAUAACUCUUAAUUACAUCCAUUUCAACCCAAUGAUUUUAACUCCUGAAAUCUAGCAAAGGACUCCACAGUAGUCAGGAUUCCCAAGGUAAUGAAAAGUCUUUGCUAAUAUAGAUAUCCCUACAGGACUAGUCUGAUUACAUGCUUGGGCAUUAAUUUCAACAAAUUCAACACAAAGCAGAAACUGAAACACUGAUUCCAUAAUGUAACAGAUACAUGUAACUUAGCCUGGGUUUCCUAUUACACUAAGAACAGAUUCCACAAUUCAUUUGAACCAUAGUUCGAUUCAGCCUUUUUAUAGUUCUUCUACUAACAAAUUCCAGAAAUUGGCACUACUAUCUACUCAAAGAGAAAUUUCAAGUAUGAAAAAAGGCAAACACCCAAGACAUGUCGAUUCUAUGUAUUCAUAUGUAAAUUACAACAAGUUCAGCAAUAACCUUAAGAACCAUUCACAAACACAAAUUAAACCUUGACUUCAUUCACCUUAUUCUGCUGGAGUUCAUCAUUUUUACAAAAGUUAGAAAUAUAUUGGAUAUGAAUCAGGAAGAAACAAGUGUGACAAGAAAACUAGGAAUCCGAUUGCUCUUAAAAAAAUAGGGCUACAUUUACAAGCUAGUAAGGCAUAGUAUGCCAUUUAAUCAAGUAAUGCUCUUUUACUUCACAUAUCAAUAGAUUGGGAAAUAACUAGAAAAGAAAAGAAGAUAGAACAAGGAGAGUCAGUAGAAGCAAAACAACACAGCAACAACAAUUCUUAAACAGCACUCAUUUCAAAAUUAGCCGAACCCACCAACAGCUCAAACCAAACUCCACAGAAUCAACUAAACCUUCUAUACUUAGAUUCAAUCCAUUUUAUAAACCUCAAUCAACUAGCACUCAUUUAAAAAUUAGAAAGCUUGAGAAACCAAAAAAAAAAUGGAAAGUGUUUUCUUAAAUUCUGAACCGUUUGUAUUAAUUCAGAUUUUUUUGUCACUUUUUGUUCUAGGUCUAAAAAUCUCCAUUGAGCUUCAAGUAAGGAUGAAUUUAUAGGUCAGGUUUUAAGACUUUAGAAAUGAGCUAAGUUUAGCACCCUAACCCUUUUUAAGGUUUCAUUUUAUGCUUCUUAAUCCCUGAGAUACUGACUUACUUACCAAGUAAGUCCCUUUUUCAGCUUCCAGAAAGCUUCCUAAGGUUGUUACACCCAGAUUCCCUGGGUUAAUUACCCAAAUUAUUUUAGAACCUUGUUAUUACCCCCUAAACCCAAUGGGUCAAGUUGACCGGUUAAUGAAACCAAGAGUGGGUUCAAUUAUGACCCAACGACCCAAAUCAAACUCCCAUUGGGUUAGGUCUGCAAUGGCUUUAAAGCCCAAACAUAGGUGGAAGGAAUCAAAUCAGUCAAAAGGUAAAUACUUGAAAAAUUCAAAGGAAUUAGCUUAUACCAAUCAACUGAUUACACAAAUGAGAAAAAACUAAUCAAGUUAUCCAAAUUGCCCUAAUUAAAUUCACUAGAUGAACAAUUAGAACAAAAACCAUGCCAUUUAGUCAACACAAAUCAAACAAAUCAAGUAAGAUCGUAAAAUAGUCUUGGCAACAAAAGUACAAAAUGAAAAACCAACAAAGACGAAACACACAUAUCCCAAACUUGGCCAAAUAUUUUGUGAAAUUUCAAUUAAGGAAAAAAAAAGGAAAGGAAAGGUACAAUAAAUGAAAAUAGAACAAGAAACAGACCCAAAAAUGAAAUGGAACUCACCGGCUAAACAUGAACUCGAGACCUGACACUCUAACUUCAUCACCAAAUAAGGUUAGUCGCUUGUCCUUUGUCAAACACAAUUGAACAACACUAUUUCGUGACAAAGCCGACUCUGAAAACUAAUGCGGGUUCGAACAAAAAUCAUAUACGCGGAGGUUUAGAUUUAGCUCUUAGAACUUGGAUUUUAGAUUUAAGAUUCAAGCCUCUAUGGGGAGAUUUGAAGGGAAUGUAGUGAGGAUUUCAAACGAGGAGAAUAAAGGGGUUUUGGGGUAUCGAUUUGGUGUCGUUUGGAGGUGCGCCGCCACCGGAGAAAUUGGGCGGCGCUAGUGUUCCGCUUCUUUGAACUAAAAUUUAAAGAGUUUCAAGGGGAUUCGAGUUGAAUGGAUUGGGGAUUUGGGAUGGGGGGUGGAGGAGAUUCAAGCGUGUAUUUUUUGAGGAGAUUCAAGCGUGUAUUUUUUGAGGAGAUUGGCCACCGGGCCGCCGCCGUGGUUGAUUUCCGGCGAGUGGCGUCGGGUAGAGUAAGACGGCGAUGAAUGGGUCUCUAAUGGGUGUGAGGUGAGAGACGAUCAGGGUAGGUGAGUGUUUAGAUACUUUUAUAUUAAACCCUUCCCC